UACGUAGGGUGCGAGCGUUGUCCGGAAUCAUUGGGCGUAAAGAGCUUGUAGGCGGUUUGUCGCGUCUGCUGUGAAAAUCCGGGGCUCAACCCCGGACUUGCAGUGGGUACGGGCAGACUAGAGUGUGGUAGGGGAGACUGGAAUUCCUGGUGUAGCGGUGAAAUGCGCAGAUAUCAGGAGGAACACCGAUGGCGAAGGCAGGUCUCUGGGCCACUACUGACGCUGAGAAGCGAAAGCGUGGGGAGCGAACAGG
rnacentral:rRNA from 1 species